rnacentral:rRNA from 1 species
GACGGAGGGUGCUAGCGUUGUUCGGAAUGACUGGGCGUAAAGCGCACGUAGGCGGAUUGCUAAGUCAGGGGUGAAAUCCCGGAGCUCAACUCCGGAACUGCCUUCGAUACUGGCGACCUUGAGUCCGGGAGAGGUGAGUGGAACUCCGAGUGUAGAGGUGAAAUUCGUAGAUAUUCGGAAGAACACCAGUGGCGAAGGCGGCUCACUGGCCCGGUACUGACGCUGAGGUGCGAAAGCGUGGGGAGCAAACAGG